UACGGGGGGUGCAAGCGUUGUUCGGAUUUACUGGGCGUAAAGCGCGCGCAGGUGGAUGAGCAAGUCGGAAGUGAAAUCUUGAGGCUCAACCUCGAGGCUGCUCCCGAAACUGUUCGUCUAGGGACUGGUAGAGGCUGGUAGAAUUCCCGGUGUAGCGGUGGAAUGCGUAGAGAUCGGGAAGAACACCGGUGGCGAAGGCGGCCUGCUGGGCUAUGGCUGACACUGAGGUACGAAAGCGUGGGGAGCGAACAGG
rnacentral:rRNA from 1 species